GUACAGUUGAAAGCGGUCGCCAUCACUUGUGAGUUUGGCGUCAUCCAUUGUCACCACCGAGGAAUGCGCUUUGGGAGAUAACACCAAGCGCAGGGCUUCGCAAACGCGCAGAGCUCUCUGCCUGUUUCCAGGUGCGCUCCUAUCUGGUCCUCGGUCCCGGGUUCCCAGCAGCUGGGGGGAGCAACCAGGAACCAGUUACCGCGUCUGAACCUCAGGACCAGAGCGGCAGUUCUCAACGAUGGGCAGGUGGGACCUCGGCGGCGACCCCUAAAACAAUACCAUGCUCGGGGAGUCCCUCUGCUGCCGCAUCAGCUUCUUCCCUUUCCACCUCCCUGACCCUGUCGGAUUCGGAUGAGCUAAAGAGACAAGGCCGCCAGAACUCCAGCCUUUCAUUUCCCUAGAAUGCUUCUCCUACGUCCGGUAAGUAGCAACCUCUCCUACCCAUCCGUGCCGAAUGCCAGAAGUGUUAUCACCGGGUGUCUGUACCUCAAAGCUGUCGCCCGCCCUAUGCCCGAAAUCCGGGAUCAAUUAGCCACCAAACUGAGGCUACCAGCUCGCUUUCUUUCCACUCGAGUGUGAGUUGUUUUUUUUUUUUUUUUUCCCAAGCCAAGGACCCUUCCUGCCCUGCUGUUAUACUUAGGACUGGCAGUGCUAGAGCCGGUGUGGCUGCGCUUUCCUGCCUCACCGGCGGGGGAUAGAAAAGUCCGCCGGAGCCCCACUGCUGAGCUAUCAUCUCUUCCCCUGUACCGCGGUGCUGGAGGUGCAGAGACAGGUCCUUCUACGCCCUCAGGCGCUGAAAGCAGAUGUCCAGUGCAGGAAGGGAAAGGACCUGUCCAGUCGCUUUCCAGUCCCGACCAGGCUUGGGGCCUUCUCGAAAGAUUUCUCCUCUAAGUUGACCAGCCCGGGGGUCCCGUUGAAGCUUUCAGCGCCGGCGCGGUCACUUCUUUCUCUGUAAUCCCCUCCGCGAUCGAGACGCCCAGCUAGCUAAGGUCUCCAAACUAAGCAGAGAAAGGAAGCUUUCAGCAAAGAGCCUGUCUGUCUUGGAAGGGCAGUUCCCACACUUGCUGGUUGAAUAAAUCGUGUGGCCUGCCAGGGGGCUUGCGCA
rnacentral:lncRNA from 1 species